rnacentral:lncRNA from 1 species
UCCAAAGCAAGUAAGCAGUCACAUGCAUGCAGCAUGCUAGCCUCCACUCCACUUCACAUGCAUUUUGCUGUUACUAUAUAUUCUUCCCCUUCGUUUCUCAUGCUGACACCUCACCCUCUCCAUGCACAUUAAUUUUCUCUCUCCACUAAACCUAACCUAACCUAAUCAAACCUUCUUUCUUCCUUUAAGUUCUCUCUCUAAUUACCCAGCUCCAACAAUUAGUACUCUACCAUCCGAUCCUCCUCCUAGUCCUCCAAAUAAACAUUCAUAUUUAAGUUAGCCUUGAUCAAGCAUCUGUGGGGCUGAAAAAUGGACAGAACACUUCAUAUUUAAGCCUUGAUCAAGCAUUUGUAAGGCAGAAAAAUGGACAGAACACUUCAUAUUUAAGCCUUGAUCAAGCAUUUGUAGGGCUAAAAAAUGGGCAUAACAUGUGGGAUAAAGACAAAAAAUCGUCUUUAG